rnacentral:rRNA from 1 species
UCGAGGAUCUUCGGCAAUGGGCGCAAGCCUGACCGAGCGACGCCGCGUGUGCGAUUGAAGGCCUUCGGGUUGUAAAGCACUGUCGAGGGGGAGGAACGCCCCGCAAGGGGUUUGACCUAUCCCUGGAGGAAGCACGGGCUAAGUUCGUGCCAGCAGCCGCGGUAAGACGAACCGUGCGAACGUUGUUCGGAAUCACUGGGCUUAAAGGGCGCGUAGGCGGGUCGUCAAGUCAGUGGUGAAAGCCUCCGGCCUAACCGGAGAAGGGCUGUUGAUACUGACGACCUCGAGGGGUGUAGGGGCCUGUGGAACUUCGGGUGGAGCGGUGAAAUGCGUAGAGAUCCGAAGGAACGCCGGUGGCGAAAGCUACGGGCUGGACACCCUCUGACGCUGAGGCGCGAAAGCCAGGGGAGCAAACGG